rnacentral:misc_RNA from 1 species
CUUGCUUUUCUACCUUUCUUUAUGUUGCCGAAUGUAUGGUUGUUGCAUGGUUGUUGAAUGCUUGUUGAAUGGCUUACGCAUGGUUGUGAUUGUGGCUUGAGCUUGCGUGAAGUUGGGUUUCAUUUGUUGGUUCCUUGCUUGCCGUGCGUGGAUUUGCAUGCUUGCCACCUCAUUGCCGUGAGGUCCAUUGUGUUGCCUAGCUUGUCUACUUGUGUUGCGCAUGGUUGAGGUUAGUAACUUGUCAUUUAUGGUAACUUCAUGCUUGAGUUGAUUGUGUUGCUUGCGUGAGGAUACUUGUGGUAGCUUGGUGUUGAGCUUGUUGCUUGGUUGCCUUGUGUUGCGGUUUGGAUGUUGAGGUGCAUUAUUGGGCUGUUUGUUAUUAUUGCGUGAGUAUCUUGUUGCUUGUGGGGUUGUUGUUUCCGCCAUUGUUUAAGUUUGGUAGUAAACUUAUUGUUGCCGUGGGACACUUUGAUGACUUGGUGUUUGGAGUGACUUGUUGCCGUGAGGUUCAGUUUGAGCUUUGGGUGACUUAUUUGCCGUGAGGUUCUUGAAGUUGGGGUGACUUGCGUGAACCUUUGGUGGUGUGAUUGGUUGCCGUGAUCCUUGUGAGAGUUUGGGUUGUUGGCAUCACACCUUGUGGACGUGAGGUUCCCUUUGUGUUUGGGAUUGGUUGCCGUGAGUUGGUGAU